rnacentral:rRNA from 1 species
CCCCUAGGUGUUCUGGGCCGCACGCGCGCUACACUGAACAGUUCAACAAGUCUUAACCUUGGCCGAUAGGUCUGGGUAAUCUUUGAACGCUGUUCGUGAUUGGGAUAGACCUUUGCAAUUAUGGGUCUUCAACGAGGAAUUCCUAGUAAACGCAAGUCAUCAGCUUGCAUUGAUUACGUCCCUGCCCUUUGUACACACCGCCCGUCGCACCUACCGAUUGAAUGGUCCGGUGAAAUCUCGGGACGGCGGCUUGGUCGCUUGCGUCCGACUGCUGAAACUUGAUUAAACCAUAUCAUUUAGAGGAAGGUGAAGUCGUANCA